UCUGGGUUGUGUCCCCUUCGCUUCCUCUCACCCUCGCUCCCCCGCGGAGCCAAGGAGCCAGCAAUUGUGCAAGAGGAGACCGGCGCACAGGGCGCUUAUCACGGAGCGCAUGGUACGAGCCGCCGGCUCCGGUGAUUAAUUAUCAGUAACCGAUGGCCUCGCGCUACCACGUCGGCUUUCCCAGCAGAGCCAGCAAGCCGAACGCCUCCAGCGCGGCCGGGACGGAGGAGCGGCUCUGGGGAAGACGCCGAGGCUGCGCCCGAGUCUGAACGAAACUGCCUCCAGCCACAUGAAGUCAGUAGGGCUGUUCUGAGGGGCCCUGAGAUUUGAUGACUGUUUUUUAGGUUGCGGAACCUACUCCGAGAGCGCAAACACUUUGGACGAAGUGAUUCAUAUUGAUAGAUACAUUUGUUGGGUGGUGGCUUUUUUCAUUCUCAACAGAAAACAAAGAAAUAAAUUAAGUCUUCCCCUGACCCAGACUGUACUGUGAAACUUUUCAAAAAUGUCUCUGCUUUCUUUUACUUCAGUAUCCUUUCCCCUUUUUCUUUUAAGACGCCCUUAGGGAAACCAUGAAGUAACCCUGCACAUUCCAGUAACACAGUUAUGACAAAACAAGAGCCUAACUAGGAA
rnacentral:lncRNA from 1 species